UACAUGCAAGUGGGACGCAAGAGAACACACUGUGCUUGCACACCGUGUUUUCUUGAGUCGCGAACGGGUGAGUAACGCGUAGGUAACCUGCCUAUUAGCGGGGGAUAACUAUUGGAAACGAUAGCUAAUACCGCAUAAUAUUAAUUAUUGCAUGAUAAUUGAUUGAAAGAUGCAAGCGCAUCACUAGUAGAUGGACCUGCGUUGUAUUAGCUAGUUGGUAAGGUAAGAGCUUACCAAGGCGACGAUACAUAGCCGACCUGAGAGGGUGAUCGGCCACACUGGGACUGAGACACGGCCCAGACUCCUACGGGAGGCAGCAGUAGGGAAUCUUCGGCAAUGGACGAAAGUCUGACCGAGCAACGCCGCGUGAGUGAAGAAGGUUUUCGGAUCGUAAAGCUCUGUUGUAAGUCAAGAACGUGUGUGAGAGUGGAAAGUUCACACAGUGACGGUAGCUUACCAGAAAGGGACGGCUAACUACGUGCCAGCAGCCGCGGUAAUACGUAGGUCCCGAGCGUUGUCCGGAUUUAUUGGGCGUAAAGGGAGCGCAGGCGGUCAGGAAAGUCUGGAGUAAAAGGCUAUGGCUCAACCAUAGUGUGCUCUGGAAACUGUCUGACUUGAGUGCAGAAGGGGAGAGUGGAAUUCCAUGUGUAGCGGUGAAAUGCGUAGAUAUAUGGAGGAACACCAGUGGCG
rnacentral:rRNA from 1 species